AACAUAACCUUUAGCUAAACAAAUAUUAAAGGCAACGCCUGCCCAGUGAACUAUUAAACGGCCGCGGUAUCCUAACCGUGCAAAGGUAGCAUAAUCAUUUGUCUAUCAAUUGUAGACUCGUAUGAAAGGCAAAAUGAGAGCCCGACUGUCUCUUAUAACAAAUCAAUUAAACUGAUCUCCCUGUACAAAAGCUGGAAUAUCACCAUAAGACCAGAAGACCCUGUGAAGCUUUAACUAACCUAUUAAACCAAAUAAUAGCUAUUUUCGGUUGGGGCGACCUUGGAACAAAAAAGAACUUCCAAAUAUAUGACUUCCUCAUACUAAGGCAAACAAGCCACAUUAGACCCAGUAUACCUGAUAAAUGAACCAAGUUACUCCAGGGAUAACAGCGCUAUCUUCUUCAAGAGCCCAUAUCAAAAAGAAGGUUUACGACCUCGAUGUUGGAUCAGGACAUCCUAGCAAUGCAACCGUACUAAGGGUUCGUUUGUUCAACGAUUAACAGUCCUACGUGAU
rnacentral:rRNA from 1 species